rnacentral:rRNA from 1 species
CAGCAGCCGCGGUAAGACGAACCGUGCGAACGUUAUUCGGAAUCACUGGGCUUAAAGCGCGUGUAGGCGGGAGGGCACGUCCGUCGCUGAAAUCCCCCGGCUCAACCGGGGAACGGGCGCGGAUACGACUCUUCUGGAGGAACGUAGGGGGACCUGGAACUUCCGGUGGAGCGGUGAAAUGCGUUGAGAUCGGAAGGAACGCCCGUGGCGAAAGCGAGGUCCUGGACGUUUACUGACGCUGAGACGCGAAAGCCAGGGGAGCGAACGGGAUUAGAUACCCCUGUAGUCCCUGUCUUUAUAC